GAUUUGUUAAAACCAAAAUGCUAAUCGUUGAAUUAAUCGUAUACGUAUGUAUACUGAUUGGACUAAUUAGACAACAGCACCAGCUAGCAAAUGCCAAAGAGGUUUGUAUAGGUGUACUCUAUAUAUGAUGAGUAAGUGGUUCGGCCGGCGGCUCGUUUUGUUUUCUUCGCAGGGAAAGCAUCCUUAGUAAGCAAGUAGGAGGUUUAGGAAUCCCUCGCCUCCUCCACUCUCCCCAGUAGUACCGCUGCUCCUCCUCGUCGUCGUCGUCCGUCGAACCCGCCUCCGUCGGCCGCAAGUCGGCGACCACUACGGCCUCCUGCCCAUGGUCACCUUCUUCAUGCCGGUCUUCAAGUAGUUCUUGUAGGUCUUUUAGUCCUCGAUGAAGGCCACGGCGCUGUCCGCCACGCCGCGGUUCUUCUUCCACCUCACCGUCGGCCCGCUGGGGUCGCAGGCGCAGCAGAUGCUGCCGCGCGUGGACGUGCCGAGGGGCAGCAGUAGGUUGCCGCCGCCGCCGCCGGUCCUGCCGCGGCGGUUGGCCAUGCUAGAGUCGUGGGUCAUGAAGCCGCCGCGCCGAGGGUGCGGCGUCUGCGCCACUGGUCUGCUGCGCUGCCCGCGGCGGCCGGCCACCGCGGUAGUCCUCCUGCACACCAUCGACAACUUACCGGCCGCCACCGCCACGGCCCCGCGGCGGCCACGUCGCAACAGCUGCCACAUCCACCGUCUAAUAGACGCCAGUUGCACUAAUGUUGUCCACGUGAUCGAUCGACCAACUCGCCAGCGUGACGAUGCUGAUCAUCAUGAGGAUGCAUGCAUCGAGGCAAACAAAGGACAUACAUACAUACAUACAUGCUAAUCAAGUUGAGACCAUGGACUCCGGCGCUCACGUGGUCGUAAUUGAUCGUCAUUGUGGACUCCGACAGUGCGAUUUACGGUUUUACAUGUUCACCUAGCCCAGCGACCCAACUGAGAAGUUUUCGGAAGAACGUGGUCUGUGGUGUCGGCUGAUGAUUUUUUUAAGUAAUCUUCAUGUUUUAUUGGGUUGUAUUUAAUGUAGCUCCAGGUGACGGCGGUCGUCUUGCGGGGAAACAUCGAGGAGAGUACGGCUUCGGAACAGCUACUGUCGGUUCUUCGUAAGCACGUGCACGCGGUGUUUCGGUCAGUAGCGGCAACUUGAGAACUUAGCUAGACUUUUUAGACAAACUCGGUGAAAAAAGGACCGUGCACACUAGUCUUAGCUUGCCGGUUCUCUUUUCGCGGCGACGUGUCCCAGGUAAGUCGGCUGC
rnacentral:rRNA from 1 species